UACGAAGGGGGCUAGCGUUGCUCGGAAUCACUGGGCGUAAAGCGCACGUAGGCGGAUCUUUAAGUCAGGGGUGAAAUCCUGGAGCUCAACUCCAGAACUGCCUUUGAUACUGGGGAUCUCGAGUCCGGAAGAGGUGAGUGGAACUCCGAGUGUAGAGGUGAAAUUCGUAGAUAUUCGCAAGAACACCAGUGGCGAAGGCGGCUCACUGGCCCGGUACUGACGCUGAGGAGCGAAAGCGUGGGGAGCGGACAGG
rnacentral:rRNA from 1 species